rnacentral:lncRNA from 1 species
CUCUGCUCUUCCUCCAGCAGAGCAAUGUGAUCCACCGGCAAGGAGGGACGCCAAUAAGGCAUCCAAAAAGAUAAGUCUUAUAAAAUAUAUAGAUUUAUGGUAAUUAAGACUGAGCUAACAGAUGAGAAUCCUAGUCAUUGGCCAAGCAGCAUUGUACCUACUACAAGUCUCUCUGUGCAUUAUUUGGGGCCCUAACUCAGGCGGGAGGCUGGCGUAGAGCGCACACUGGGUGCUGGGCUUGGCGGCUUUUGGCAGAAAGAUUUAUUGUAACAGAUAUUGUAAGAAAGAAUGAAAGAGAGAAAGAAAUCCUUAUUAAAACUAGACUAUUUUAUAACCCAGAUGCCCCUCAACUGAAGAAUGCAUGGAGAAAAUGUGGUACAUUUACACAAUGGAGUACUACUCAGCAGAAAAAAAAACAACGGAAUCUUGAAAUUCACAGGCAAAUGGAUGGAACUAGAAGAAACCAUCCCAAGUGAGGAAAAUGUUAUUUAAAAGGCCGUGCCUUAUAACUGAUGCUGGGCAGACAAGGAUCAGGGUCAUCCUGCCUCUGUGCUUGUGGUACAAAUGGAGCUAAAAGAUGCUUGGAAAAUGGAGUCUCUAAGGCCAUAGGCAUGUAGGAAUCGAAUGCUGUCAGCUCCUCUGGAAAAAGUGGUUGUCAAGACAACAAGACAAAGUAACUCAAAACAAGCAAAACUGUCGAAAAAAUUACUGGGCCUGUUUCAAGAUCCAAAGCACAUGUGAGGUUUCCCUAGAUGGCAAUCUCAGAUGGUACAACUAGAACAUGUG